UACAGAGGGUGCGAGCGUUAAUCGGAAUUACUGGGCGUAAAGCGUGCGUAGACGGUUAUUUAAGUCGGAUGUGAAAGCCCCGGGCUCAACCUGGGAAUUGCAUUCGAGACUGAAUAGCUAGGGUGCGGUAGAGGGAAGCGGAAUUUCCGGUGUAGCGGUGAAAUGCGUAGAUAUCGGAAGGAACAUCAGUGGCGAAAGCGGCUUCCUGGUCCAGCACCGACGUUCAGGCACGAAAGCGUGGGGAGCAAACAGG
rnacentral:rRNA from 1 species